UACAGAGGUCCCAAGCGUUGUUCGGAUUCACUGGGCGUAAAGGGUGCGUAGGUGGUGAGGUAAGUCGGACGUGAAAUCUUCAAGCUCAACUUGGAAACUGCGUCGGAUACUAUUCGGCUAGAGGAAUGGAGGGGAGACUGGAAUACUUGGUGUAGCAGUGAAAUGCGUAGAUAUCAAGUGGAACACCAGUGGCGAAGGCGAGUCUCUGGACAUUUCCUGACGCUGAGGCACGAAAGCCAGGGGAGCAAACGGG
rnacentral:rRNA from 1 species